UGUAGCGGUGAAAUGCGUAGAGAUCUGGAGGAAUACCGGUGGCGAAGGCGGCCCCCUGGACGAAGACUGACGCUCAGGUGCGAAAGCGUGGGGAGCAAACAGGAUUAGAUACCCUGGUAGUCCACGCUGUAAACGAUGUCGACUUGGAGGUUGUGCCCUUGAGGCGUGGCUUCCGGAGCUAACGCGUUAAGUCGACCGCCUGGGGAGUACGGCCGCAAGGUUAAAACUCAAAUGAAUUGACGGGGGCCCGCACAAGCGGUGGAGCAUGUGGUUUAAUUCGAUGCAACGCGAAGAACCUUACCUGGUCUUGACAUCCACAGAACUUUCCAGAGAUGGAUUGGUGCCUUCGGGAACUGUGAGACAGGUGCUGCAUGGCUGUCGUCAGCUCGUGUUGUGAAAUGUUGGGUUAAGUCCCGCAACGAGCGCAACCCUUAUCCUUUGUUGCCAGCGGUCCGGCCGGGAACUCAAAGGAGACUGCCAGU
rnacentral:rRNA from 1 species